GGGUUGUGAGGUUAAGCGACUAAGCGUACACGGUGGAUGCCCUGGCAGUCAGAGGCGAUGAAGGACGUGCUAAUCUGCGAAAAGCGUCGGUAAGGUGAUAUGAACCGUUAUAACCGGCGAUGUCCGAAUGGGGAAACCCAGUGCAAUUCGUUGCACUAUCGUUAACUGAAUACAUAGGUUAACGAGGCGAACCGGGGGAACUGAAACAUCUAAGUACCCCGAGGAAAAGAAAUCAACCGAGAUUCCCCCAGUAGCGGCGAGCGAACGGGGAGCAGCCCAGAGUCUGAAUCAGCUUGUGUGUUAGUGGAACGGUCUGGAAAGUCCGACGGUACAGGGUGAUAGUCCCGUACACCAAAAUGCACAGGUUGUGAACUCGAAGAGUAGGGCGGGACACGUGGUAUCCUGUCUGAAUAUGGGGGGACCAUCCUCCAAGGCUAAAUACUCCUGACUGACCGAUAGUGAACCAGUACCGUGAGGGAAAGGCGAAAAGAACCCCGGCGAGGGGAGUGAAAAAGAACCUGAAACCGUGUACGUACAAGCAGUGGGAGCACCUUCGGGUGUGACUGCGUACCUUUUGUAUAAUGGGUCAGCGACUUAUAUUCUGUAGCAAGGUUAACCGUAUAGGGGAGCCGCAGGGAAACCGAGUCUUAACUGGGCGUUAAGUUGCAGGGUAUAGACCCGAAACCCGGUGAUCUAGCCAUGGGCAGGUUGAAGGUUGGGUAACACUAACUGGAGGACCGAACCGACUAAUGUUGAAAAAUUAGCGGAUGACUUGUGGCUGGGGGUGAAAGGCCAAUCAAACCGGGAGAUAGCUGGUUCUCCCCGAAAGCUAUUUAGGUAGCGCCUCGUGAAUUCAUCUUCGGGGGUAGAGCACUGUUUCGGCUAGGGGGUCAUCCCGACUUACCAACCCGAUGCAAACUACGAAUACCGAAGAAUGUUAUCACGGGAGACACACGGCGGGUGCUAACGUCCGUCGUGAAGAGGGAAACAACCCAGACCGCCAGCUAAGGUCCCAAAGUCAUGGUUAAGUGGGAAACGAUGUGGGAAGGCACAGACAGCCAGGAUGUUGGCUUAGAAGCAGCCAUCAUUUAAAGAAAGCGUAAUAGCUCACUGGUCGAGUCGGCCUGCGCGGAAGAUGUAACGGGGCUAAACCAUGCACCGAAGCUGCGGCAGCGACACUAUGUGUUGUUGGGUAGGGGAGCGUUCUGUAAGCCUGCGAAGGUGACCUGUGAGGGUUGCUGGAGGUAUCAGAAGUGCGAAUGCUGACAUAAGUAACGAUAAAGCGGGUGAAAAGCCCGCUCGCCGGAAGACCAAGGGUUCCUGUCCAACGUUAAUCGGGGCAGGGUGAGUCGACCCCUAAGGCGAGGCCGAAAGGCGUAGUCGAUGGGAAACAGGUUAAUAUUCCUGUACUUGGUGUUACUGCGAAGGGGGACGGAGAAGGCUAUGUUAGCCGGGCGACGGUUGUCCCGGUUUAAGCAUGUAGGCUGGUUGUCCAGGCAAAUCCGGAUAAUCAAGGCUGAGGUGUGAUGACGAGGCACUACGGUGCUGAAGUAACAAAUGCCCUGCUUCCAGGAAAAGCCUCUAAGCAUCAGGUAACAUCAAAUCGUACCCCAAACCGACACAGGUGGUCAGGUAGAGAAUACCAAGGCGCUUGAGAGAACUCGGGUGAAGGAACUAGGCAAAAUGGUGCCGUAACUUCGGGAGAAGGCACGCUGGUGUGUAGGUGAAGUCCCUGCGGAUGGAGCUGAGACCAGUCGAAGAUACCAGCUGGCUGCAACUGUUUAUUAAAAACACAGCACUGUGCAAACACGAAAGUGGACGUAUACGGUGUGACGCCUGCCCGGUGCCGGAAGGUUAAUUGAUGGGGUUAUCCGUAAGGAGAAGCUCUUGAUCGAAGCCCCGGUAAACGGCGGCCGUAACUAUAACGGUCCUAAGGUAGCGAAAUUCCUUGUCGGGUAAGUUCCGACCUGCACGAAUGGCGUAAUGAUGGCCAGGCUGUCUCCACCCGAGACUCAGUGAAAUUGAACUCGCUGUGAAGAUGCAGUGUACCCGCGGCAAGACGGAAAGACCCCGUGAACCUUUACUAUAGCUUGACACUGAACAUUGAGCCUUGAUGUGUAGGAUAGGUGGGAGGCUUUGAAGCGUGGACGCCAGUCUGCGUGGAGCCAACCUUGAAAUACCACCCUUUAAUGUUUGAUGUUCUAACGUUGGCCCCUUACCGGGGUUGCGGACAGUGUCUGGUGGGUAGUUUGACUGGGGCGGUCUCCUCCCAAAGCGUAACGGAGGAGCACGAAGGUUAGCUAAUCCUGGUCGGACAUCAGGAGGUUAGUGCAAUGGCAUAAGCUAGCUUGACUGCGAGCGUGACGGCGCGAGCAGGUGCGAAAGCAGGUCAUAGUGAUCCGGUGGUUCUGAAUGGAAGGGCCAUCGCUCAACGGAUAAAAGGUACUCCGGGGAUAACAGGCUGAUACCGCCCAAGAGUUCAUAUCGACGGCGGUGUUUGGCACCUCGAUGUCGGCUCAUCACAUCCUGGGGCUGAAGUAGGUCCCAAGGGUAUGGCUGUUCGCCAUUUAAAGUGGUACGCGAGCUGGGUUUAGAACGUCGUGAGACAGUUCGGUCCCUAUCUGCCGUGGGCGCUGGAGAAUUGAGGGGGGCUGCUCCUAGUACGAGAGGACCGGAGUGGACGCAUCACUGGUGUUCGGGUUGUCAUGCCAAUGGCACUGCCCGGUAGCUAAAUGCGGAAGAGAUAAGUGCUGAAAGCAUCUAAGCACGAAACUUGCCCCGAGAUGAGUUCUCCCUGAGACUUUAAGUCUCCUGAAGGAACGUUAAAGACGAUGACGUUGAUAGGCCGGGUGUGUAAGCGCAGCGAUGCGUUGAGCUAACCGGUACUAAUGAACCGUGAGGCUUAACCUUACAACGCCGAAG
rnacentral:rRNA from 1 species